rnacentral:lncRNA from 1 species
UUGGGUUCUCUUUAACUUCUACCAUUUAGGUGAUUGAACAAAUUUGAUUCCUUUUUUACUUGUGAUCUAAAUUCCGUUCUAAACCGAUUGAAGAGUUCUAAGGUUCAAGCAAGGGUCUUGGGAUUCCGCAUCAUUUGAGCUUGAAUGUGAUGCUUUAGGAAUAAGUAUAGGACUUGUGCUAAUGCAAGAAGGGCGCCCAAUAACCUACUUUAGUGAGAAACUUAGUGGCACAUUGUUUAGAUACU